rnacentral:misc_RNA from 1 species
GAUGAAGAACGCAGCGAAAUGCGAUAAGUAAUGUGAAUUGCAGAAUUCAGUGAAUCAUCGAAUCUUUGAACGCACAUUGCGCCCCCUGGUAUUCCGGGGGGCAUGCCUGUUCGAGCGUCAUUUCAACCCUCAAGCUCAGCUUGGUAUUGAGUCCAUGUCAGUAAUGGCAGGCUCUAAAAUCAGUGGCGGCGCCGCUGGGUCCUGAACGUAGUAAUAUCUCUCGUUACAGGUUCUCGGUGUGCUUCUGCCAAAACCCAAAUUUUCUAUGGUUGACCUCGGAUCAGGUAGGGAUACCCGCUGAACUUAAGCAUAUCAAUAAGCGGAGGA